AGACUCAAUCCCUCGGGUUUCCGAGGAGAUUGGACCUGGGUGUUGCCGCUCUGCCGGCUCGCCUUAAAAGACUUAGCGGGAUAGCACCGUAGUCGGCGUAAUAAGUUUCGUCGGUGAAGGUUGUGAUGACUGCUUACAAUCGCCCUCGGGCAAUUUUUGA
rnacentral:misc_RNA from 1 species